UACGAAGGGGGCUAGCGUUGCUCGGAAUCACUGGGCGUAAAGCGCACGUAGGCGGCUUUUUAAGUCAGGGGUGAAAUCCUGGAGCUCAACUCCAGAACUGCCUUUGAUACUGAGUAGCUUGAGUCCGGGAGAGGUGAGUGGAACUGCGAGUGUAGAGGUGAAAUUCGUAGAUAUUCGCAAGAACACCAGUGGCGAAGGCGGCUCACUGGCCCGGUACUGACGCUGAGGUGCGAAAGCGUGGGGAGCAACAG
rnacentral:rRNA from 1 species